rnacentral:misc_RNA from 1 species
GAUGAAGAACGUAGCGAAAUGCGAUACGUAAUGUGAAUUGCAGAAUUCAGUGAAUCAUCGAAUCUUUGAACGCAUAUUGCGCUCUUUGGUAUUCCGAAGAGCAUGCUUGUUUGAGUAUCAGUAAACACCUCAAAGACUUCAAUUUGUUUUGAAUGGCUUUGGACUUGAGCAAUCCCAACACCAGUCUUUACGAUCGGUGGAGGGUUGCUUGAAAUGCAGGUGCAGCUGGACAUUCUCCUGAGCUAAAAGCAUAUUUAUUUAGUCCCGUCAAACGGAUUAUUACUUUUGCUGCAGCUAACAUAAAGGGAGUUUGACCGUAUUGGCUGACUGAUGCAGGAUUUCACAAGGGUCGGCAACGAUUCUUGUAAAACUCGAUCUCAAAUCAAGUAAGACUACCCGCUGAACUUAAGCAUAUCAAUAAGCGGAGGA